rnacentral:rRNA from 1 species
UACGUAGGUGGCAAGCGUUGUCCGGAUUUACUGGGCGUAAAGAGCGUGCAGGCGGCCGUUUAAGUCCGCUGUGAAAGCCCCCGGCUCAACUGGGGAGGGUCACGCGAUACUGAUCGACUCGAAGGCAGGAGAGGGUAGUGGAAUUCCCGGUGUAGUGGUGAAAUGCGUAGAUAUCGGGAGGAACACCAGUGGCGAAGGCGGCUACCUGGCGUGUUUCUUGACGCUGAGGCGCGAAAGCUAGGGGAGCAAACGGG